GACGAACGCUGGCGGCGUGCUUAACACAUGCAAGUCGAACGAGGUCCACUGCGUAGCAAUACAAGGGAAGACCUAGUGGCGAACGGGUGCGUAACACGUGAGGAACUUGUCCCGGUCUCUGGGAUAACAGUUGGAAACGACUGCUAAUACCGGAUGACGUCGGAAUCUCGCAUGGGAUACUGACGAAAGGGUUACUGGAUCGGGAGAGCCUCGCGGCCUAUCAGCUUGUUGGUGAGGUAACGGCUCACCAAGGCAUCGACGGGUAGCUGGUCUGAGAGGAUGAUCAGCCACACUGGGACUGAGACACGGCCCAGACUCCUACGGGAGGCAGCAGUGGGGAAGUCUUGCGCAAUGGGCGGAAAGACCUGACGCAGCAACGCCGCGUGCGGGAA
rnacentral:rRNA from 1 species